GGGAGUGGAUAGGCCCCGGUGGGUCUCCCGGUCUUCAAAACCGGUGUGUCCGUCGUUUGGCGGACAGGUGGGUUCGACUCCCAUGCACUCCCGCCA
rnacentral:tRNA from 1 species